AUUGUUUCCAUCUGUGCCUACAGGAGAAAUUUUAAAUCUUAGAGUUUAAAAUUCUGAAACAUCCUUAAAGACACAAUUAAGUAAUUAAUUUUCUUAAGGAUUUUUUUUUCAGCUGGUGUACCUGCAACAAGCAAACUGACCCUAGCCUUCUGUAGAAGCCAAAUAGCAAUAGGUUAGUAGCACCUCAGUUCUAACUCCUACUAUGAAUUAACAUCUCGGAUCUGUGCUCUUAAACUACCUGCUGUUCUCCUUACCAGCACUGCAGUAAAGACCUGUGCAGCUACUCCUCCCACGACAGAGCUGCUGCUGAAGCUGAGUGUCUUGGGUUGCAAUGCAAGAGGUAAUCAAAAGUAUGUAUUCUACUACCAUCUGUUGACACCAGGUGGAGCACUGUUCUUUAUCUCUUCCAUGACUCAUCCUUCCUCCAGGGGAUACCUUCUGUUAAUGGGCCAUUGAGUCUUACAGCAUGACUGAUAAAAUUACAUCAUCCCAUUGUAAAAUGCUCCACCCAGGGGAGGAGUCAAGCAUUCCUGCCUGGAUAUAAUCUGAGGCUUCAAACACCACAGUCAGCCUUUCUCCACUGGAUUCCCAGAGGAAGACCAGACCCAUCUACACCACCACUAGACCUUCAGAGGAAAACUACAUCCUUCUACAGGACCAUUGCAUUAACAGAACCACAUUUGUCACUCCAGGAGGACUGUAGCCACCAUUUAAUUGGCCUGCUACCAACGCCCUGAUCAACAGGGAGUCAAGUUGUAUCCUGACUGUUAGUGUUUUUUGUAAUACUGCAUUUUUAUUUUAGUUUUCCUGUUGCAGUCUGUUUGUUUAAUUUUGUUAAGUGUUCAGUUGGUACAUUCCUGUUGCUCCCCUAUCGUUAUGUAAUGGUUCUGACCCCAAAUGUCAAUAUUGUUAACCCCUCCUCUUGUUCCUGAAAGUUCCUUGCCAGUCACCUUCACCCUGCCCCUUCUCCCUAUCCAUCAAUGUAAACCCCACUUUUCCUUCCAUUUCCUUCUAUGUCUUUUAUCCCUCACCUAGUACCUGAUUCGUUACAAAGUUGUUGUCCCACCUCUGUUGUAGUUCCAUUGGCCCACAGCGUUGUGAACCCCUCCCUUGAUUCCUCCCUGUGUAAGCCCUGAUUGGUCCCUGGAUUGUACCCACCCCUGCUUAAAACCCGAUGCACAGAGGUGCUCAAGGCUCCUUCUCUGGUUCCUUCAUCCCAGCCUGAACCCUGUCACUAUUUCCUUCUUCUCGUUAAUAAACUUGUUCCUGCGAAGUACGAGAGACUGAGC
rnacentral:lncRNA from 1 species